AUACUUACCUGGCAAGGGAGAUACCAUGAUAACAAAGGUGGUUUUCCCAUGAUGAGGUUUGUCCAUUACACUCCGGAUGUGCUGGGCCCUGCAAUUUCCCCAAAUUUGAUAAACUUGACUGCAUAUUUUGUGGUAGUGGGGGACUGUGUUCUCGCUACCCUCUG